AGAGGUGGCAAGCGUUGUUCGGAAUUACUGGGCGUAAAGGGCGCGUAGGCGGCCCGUCAAGUCCCGUGUGAAAGCCCCCGGCUCAACCGGGGAACGGCGCGGGAAACUAGCAGGCUUGAGUUCGGGAGAGGGAAGCGGAAUUUCGGGUGUAGCGGUGAAAUGCGCAGAUAUCCGAAGGAACACCGGUGGCGAAGGCGGCUUCCUGGACCGACACUGACGCUGAGGCGCGAAAGCUAGGGGAGCAAACGGGAUUAGAUACCCCGGUAGUCCUAGCCCUAAACGAUGAGAACUGGGUGUAGAGGGUAUGAACCCCUUCUGUGCCGAAGCUAACGCAUUAAGUUCUCCGCCUGGGGAGUACGGUCGCAAGGCUG
rnacentral:rRNA from 1 species